CCUAGUAAGUACAAGUCACUAGCUUGUGCUGAUUACGUCCCUGCCCUUUGUACACACCGCCCGUCGCUACUACCGAUUGAAUGGCUUAGUGAGGCCCUCGGAUUGAGGCUCGGAGACUGGCAACAGACUCUUGGUUUUGAAAAGUUGGUCAAACUUGGUCAUUUAGAGGAAGUAAAAGUCGUAACAAGGUUUCCGUAGGUGAACCUGCGGAAGGAUCAUUACCAAUCUUUAAUGAGCCUGGACUUGUCCAUGGUCUCGCGAAAUUUUGUAUUUAAAACCUACUCCUUUAUAAUUAAAAAAAAUGUAUUGAUGAUAAAUUAAGAUCACUUUCAACAACGGAUCUCUUGGCUCUCGCAUCGAUGAAGAACGUAGCGAAGUGCGAUAAGUAGUGUGAAUUGCAGAAUUCCGUGAAUCAUCGAAUUUUUGAACGCAAAUUGCACUCCCUGGCAUUCCGGGGAGUAUGCCUGUUUGAGGGUCAGUUCAAAUAAAAUCGACGUGUUUGCUCUUGUGACAUUUCAGAAUUGGGUUGUCUUAAUCUUUAGGUUAAGAGGCCUGAAAUUGAUAUUUUUUUGUGCAUCCUAGACGUGUAUAAAAUCGCUUAUCAGUUUUUUGGGUGUCAACCUCUUUUAUUAGGUAUGGUCAUUUUUGCAUGAUCUCGUACCUAUAAUUUUUUCAUGAUUUUGACCUCAAAUCAGGUAGGAGUACCCGGCUGAACCUUAGGCAUAUCAAUAAGCGGGAGGAAAAGAAAAUAACAAUGAUUCCCCUAGUAACUGCGAGUGAAGAAGGGACAAGGCUCAAAUUUUUAAAUCUGGUCGGGUUUACCUGAAUCGAAGUUGGUAAAUUUGAAGAGCGUUUU
rnacentral:rRNA from 1 species